UACAGAGGUCCCAAGCGUUGUUCGGAUUCAUUGGGCGUAAAGGGUGCGUAGGUGGCGCCGUAAGUCGGGUGUGAAAUUUCGGAGCUUAACUCCGAAACUGCAUUUGAUACUGCGGUGCUUGAGGACUGGAGAGGAGACUGGAAUUCACGGUGUAGCAGUGAGAUGCGUAGAUAUCGUGAGGAAGACCAGUGGCGAAGGCGGGUCUCUGGACAGUUCCUGACACUGAGGCACGAAGGCCAGGGGAGCAAACGGG
rnacentral:rRNA from 1 species